rnacentral:tRNA from 1 species
GGCGCCAUAGCUCAGCUGGAUAGAGCAGAGGACUUCUAAGCCUAAGGUCGCAAGUUCGAAUCUUGCUGGCGCUACCA